AGGGAUUUAGUUCAGUGGUUUGGACGCCUGCCUUGCAAGCACAAGGACCCAAGUUCGAUCCCUGGUACCCCCC
rnacentral:tRNA from 1 species